AACGAACGCUGGCGGCAGGCUUAACACAUGCAAGUCGAGCGCCCCGCAAGGGGAGCGGCAGACGGGUGAGUAACGCGUGGGAACGUACCCUUUGCUACGGAAUAGCCCCGGGAAACUGGGAGUAAUACCGUAUGUGCCCUUCGGGGGAAAGAUUUAUCGGCAAAGGAUCGGCCCGCGUUGGAUUAGGUAGUUGGUGGGGUAAUGGCCUACCAAGCCGACGAUCCAUAGCUGGUUUGAGAGGAUGAUCAGCCACACUGGGACUGAGACACGGCCCAGACUCCUACGGGAGGCAGCAGUGGGGAAUCUUAGACAAUGGGGGAAACCCUGAUCUAGCCAUGCCGCGUGAUCGAUGAAGGCCUUAGGGUUGUAAAGAUCUUUCAGUGGGGAAGAUAAUGACUGUACCCACAGAAGAAGCCCCGGCUAACUCCGUGCCAGCCGCCGCCGUAACAC
rnacentral:rRNA from 1 species